rnacentral:rRNA from 1 species
GACGAACGCUGGCGGCGUGCUUAACACAUGCAAGUCGAACGGAAAGGCCCUGCUUUUGUGGGGUGCUCGAGUGGCGAACGGGUGAGUAACACGUGAGUAACCUGCCCUUGACUUUGGGAUAACUUCAGGAAACUGGGGCUAAUACCGGAUAGGAGCUCCUGCUGCAUGGUGGGGGUUGGAAAGUUUCGGCGGUUGGGGAUGGACUCGCGGCUUAUCAGCUUGUUGGUGGGGUAGUGGCUUACCAAGGCUUUGACGGGUAGCCGGCCUGAGAGGGUGACCGGCCACAUUGGGACUGAGAUACGGCCCAGACUCCUACGGGAGGCAGCAGUGGGGAAUAUUGCACAAUGGGCGGAAGCCUGAUGCAGCAACGCCGCGUGCGGGAUGACGGCCUUCGGGUUGUAAACCGCCUUCGCCUGUGACGAAGCGUGAGUGACGGUAAUGGGUAAAGAAGCACCGGCUAACUACGUC